rnacentral:tRNA from 1 species
CGAAGUAUAGCAUAUAAAAUGCUUUUUACUUACACUAAAAAAAAGACAUUUGUCUACUCCGCUU